GACUGUACCUGCAGAAGAAGCCCCGGCUAAAUACGUGCCAGCAGCCGCGGUAAUACGUAUGGGGCAAGCGUUAUCCGGAUUCAUUGGGCGUAAAGCGCGCGUAGGCGGAUCGUUAAGUCAGAUGUGAAAUCCGGGGGCUCAACCCGCGGCCUGCAUCUGAAACUGGCGGUCUUGAGUCUGGUAGAGGAAAGUGGAAUUCCCAGUGUAGCGGUGAAAUGCGCAGAUAUUGGGAGGAACACCAGUGGCGAAGGCGGCUUUCUGGGCCACGACUGACGCUGAGGCGCGAAAGCUAGGGGAGCAAACAGGAUUAGAUACCCUGGUAGUCCUAGCCGUAAACGAUGGGCACUAGGUGUGGGGGGUCAUCGACUCCCUCCGUGCCGCAGCUAACGCAUUAAGUGCCCCGCCUGGGGAGUACGGCCGCAAGGUUAAAACUCA
rnacentral:rRNA from 1 species